UGAGUACGAGACGCUAAGGCGUUGAAGUAGUGGAUGUCAUACUUCCAAGAAAAGCUUGCACUGUCAUAAAUAAAAAUGCCUGUACCAUAACCGACACAGGUGGGUAGGUAGAGUAUACUAAGGGGCGCGAGAUAACUCUCCCUAAGGAACUCGGCAAAAUGACUCCGUAACUUCGGGAGAAGGAGUGCCUUAUUCGUAAGGCUGCAAUAACAAGAUCCAAGCAACUGUUUAUCAAAAACACAGGUCUCCGCUAAGUCGUAAGACGAUGUAUGGGGGCUGACGCCUGCCCAGUGCCAGAAGGUUAAAGAAGUCGGUUAGCAUUAGCGAAGCUGGUAACUGAAGCCCUGGUGAACGGCGGCCGUAACGAUAACGGUCCUAAGGUAGCGAAAUUCCUUGUCGGGUAAGUUCCGACCCGCACGAAAGGCGUAAUGAUUUGGAUACUGUCUCGGAGAGGGGCUCGGUGAAAUAGACUUGUCUGUGAAGAUGCGGACUACCUGCACCAGGACAGAAAGACCCUAUGAAGCUUUACUGUAACUUGAAAUUGAAAUUGGACUUUAUUCGCGCAGUAUAGGUGGGAGGCGUUGAUUAUAAUCUUGCGGGAUUAUUGGAGCCAUCAGUGAGAUACCACUCUUGUAAUGUUAGAUUUCUAACUUUGAAUCAUUAUCUGGUCAAAGAACAGUUUCAGGCGGGCAGUUUGACUGGGGCGGUCGCCUCCUAAACGGUAACGGAGGCGUACAAAGGUUUCCUCUGAACGGGUAGAAAUCGUAUCUAGAGUGUAAAGGCAUAAGGAAGCUUGACUGUGAGACCUACAAGUCGAGCAGGGACGAAAGUCGGUCUUAGUGAUCUGACGGUACUGAGUGGAAAGGCCGUCACUCAACGGAUAAAAGUUACUCUAGGAUAACAGGCUGAUCUCCCCCAAGAGUUCACAUCGACGGGGAGGUUUGGCACCUCGAUGUCGGCUCAUCGCAUCCUGGGGCGGUAGUACGUCCCAAGGGUUGGGCUGUUCGCCCAUGAAAGCGGUACGCGAGCUGGGUUCAGAACGUCGUGAGACAGUUCGGUCCAUAUCCGGUGUAGGCGUUAGAAUAUUGAGAGGAGCCUUCUUUAGUACGAGAGGACCGAGAAGGACAUACCUCUGGUGUACCAGUUAUCGUGCCAACGGUAAACGCUGGGUAGCUAUGUAUGGAGUGGAUAACCGCUGAAAGCAUCUAAGUGGGAAGCCCACCUCAAGAUAAGUAUUCUCUU
rnacentral:rRNA from 1 species